rnacentral:rRNA from 1 species
UACGUAGGGUGCGAGCGUUGCCCGGAUUUAUUGGGCGUAAAGGGCGCGUAGGCGGUCACGCACGUCCGUUGUGAAAUCGCUCGGCUCAACUGGGCGGGGUCAGCGGAUACGGCGUGGCUGGAGCAAGCUAGGGGGCAAUGGAAUUCCCGGUGUAGUGGUGGAAUGCGUAGGUAUCGGGAGGAACACCAGUGGCGAAGGCGGUUGCCUGGAGCUUUGCUGACGCUGAUGCGCGAAAGCGUGGGGAUCAAACAGG